UACGUAGGUGGCAAGCGUUGUCCGGAGUUAUUGGGCGUAAAGCGCGCGCAGGCGGUGCGGUAAGUCUCUGGUGAAAGCGCUCGGCUUAACUGGGCGAGGGCCGGGGAGACUGCCACGCUGGAGGGGAGCAGAGGCGAGUGGAAUUCCGGGUGUAGUGGUGAAAUGCGUAGAGAGUCCGGAGGAACACCCAGUGGCGAAGGCCGGGCUCGCUGGGCUCUACCUGACGCGUGAGGCGCGGAAAGCGUGGGGAGCCGAACAGGA
rnacentral:rRNA from 1 species